CCUACGGGAGGCAGCAGUGAGGAAUAUUGGUCAAUGGGCGCAAGCCUGAACCAGCCAAGUCGCGUGAGGGAUGACGGUCCUAUGGAUUGUAAACCUCUUUUGUCGGGGAGCAAGGCCGUCCACGUGUGGGGUGAAGGAGCGUACCUGAAUAAAAAGCAUCGGCUAACUCCGUGCCAGCAGCCGCGGUAAUACGGAGGAUGCGAGCGUUAUCCGGAUUUAUUGGGUUUAAAGGGUGCGUAGGCGGAAGGUUAAGUCAGCGGUAAAAUGUCGGGGCUCAACAGCGGCCUGCCGUUGAAACUGGUCUUCUUGAGUGAGCGAGAGGUAUGCGGAAUGCGUGGUGUAGCGGUGAAAUGCAUAGAUAUAACGAAGAACUCCGAUUGCGAAGGCAGCAUACCGGCGCUCAACUGACGCUGAGGCACGAAAGCGUGGGGAUCGAACAGGAUUAGAUACCCCAGUAGUC
rnacentral:rRNA from 1 species